rnacentral:rRNA from 1 species
AAAACAGCCCUACGGGAGGCAGCAGUAAGGAAUAUUGGACAAUGGGCGCAAGCCUGAUCCAGCCAUGCCGCGUGAAGGAUUAAGGCCCUCUGGGUUGUAAACUUCUUUUAUAUGGGACGAAAAAGAUCAUUCUUGGUCACUUGACGGUACCAUGUGAAUAAGCACCGGCUAACUCCGUGCCAGCAGCCGCGGUAAUACGGAGGGUGCAAGCGUUAUCCGGAUUCACUGGGUUUAAAGGGUGCGUAGGCGGGCAUUUAAGUCAGUGGUGAAAUCCUGGAGCUUAACUCCAGAACUGCCAUUGAUACUAUCUGCCUUGGAUAUUGUGGAGGUCUGCGGAAUA